rnacentral:rRNA from 1 species
CCAGCGGUUCGGCCGGGCGACGUCUGACGGGACGUGCCCGCCGAAAGACGGGAGGAGGGAGGGGACGGACGUCUGGUCAGCAUGGCCCUUACCGGCCUGGGCGGACACACGUGCUACAAUGCCCACCUACAAAGACGAUGCCACCCGGCAACGGGGAGCUAAUCGCAAAAAGGUGGGCCCAGUUCGGAUUGGGGUCUGCAACCCGACCCCAUGAAGCCGGAAUCGCUAGUAAUCGCGGAUCAGCCAUGCCGCGGUGAAUACGUUCCCGGGCCUU